rnacentral:rRNA from 1 species
GACGAACGCUGGCGGCGUGCCUAAUACAUGCAAGUCGAACGCAGUGGGGACGGGUGAGUAACACGUGGGUAACCUCCCAUCAGAGGGGAUAACACUUGGAAACAGGUGCUAAACCGCUCCUGAUGGAUGGACCCGAGGUGCAUUAGCUAGUUGGUGAGGUAACGGCUCACCAAGGCCACGAUGCAUCGCCGACCUGAGAGGGGGUACGGCCAACCUGGGACGGAGCCACGGCCCAGACUCCUCCGGGAGGCAGCAGUAGGGAAUCUUCGGCAAUGGACGAAAGUCUGACCGAGCAACGCCGCGUGAGGGAAGAAGGUGUUCGGAUCGUAAAACUCUGUUGUUAGAGAAUCGGUAUCUAACCAGAAAGCCACGGCUAACUACGUGCCAGCAGCCGCGGUAAUAC